UUCCAUCUUCUUUCAAGAAGAGAAUUGUUCUCGUUGCAUAAGUCUUUGCAGCUGUAGUAUUUAUCCUCCUCAGGUAUGGCAUCAGGCUGUCGUGGUGAUCUAGUAUGUACAGCUUAUUGUUCCUGAUUGCCUAUAUAUAUAACCACCCCAAUUACUUAAGUUAAUAUUUGAUAUUAAUCAUCCAUGCAGUCAAGUUUGAUUUAGUUUUACCUCAGCAACAGUCAAGCCUUCUAGAUUGUGUAGUAUAUGCUUUCUGAUAUUUUACUGGAUUGCCUUCCAUAUAGCUCUGGAUUUAGUUUGCUUGUUGGCGGGAAUUCCUGUGAGUAGAAAAGUAUUAACAAUCGAACACUUUGACCUCAUAUGACAAAUAAAUAAUAUGAACACUAUUCUUGGUUUUUCUUUUUUCAUUUUCUAGAGCGUUAUUAGCACAUGAAAGUUAUUCAGCAAAUUCUGUGUUUUGUAUUUGAUUCUGUUUUGUUUACUCAAAGCUAAAAAUUAGCGGCUUUAUAUCUGAUACCCCCUUCUCAUAGGAAAAAAGAUAAAGAGCAGAAAAUUUUAUUUACUUGGAGGCAUUGGAUAAUGACAGGAUUGAUUCCAGCCAGCAUUUCUCUACCGAAUUCUUCAUCAGAUCGCCAGGCAUCUUUAUCUUCUGCUCCACGAAGAAAAUAACAAAUUAGUUUAAGUAAAAGGUUAGCUCUCUUCAUUUCUUAAAUUAAUACAUGUCAAAGUCAACAAAUUCAGUAUAAUGUUUCCGCUAAGUUACCUUUGAUGACAUGUGGCAGCGGAAAAUUGUAUGUUUUCUCUCCAUCUGAUCUGAGUAGCUCCCUUAUCGUCUCUAAGGGUAUAUGUUGUCUAAUUUUCUCCAACAUAGUUACAUUAGAUACUUCGGUUGCACCAUCAUAGAGCC
rnacentral:lncRNA from 1 species